ensembl:lncRNA
GUCUGAAUACUUUCCGAAGGCACUGUAGACACAACAUUCAUACUGUUUAUAACGAGCAUUAUCAACUCAAUGAUACGACAUAGACACAACAUUCAUACUGUUUAUGAAAUUAAAUGAAAUGACGAACACGGGAGAUCAACAUUGUAACAUGUGUGAUUUGGGUUGUGAUGCAGAAAAAGCAUAGCAUGCCAAAGUGCAUGAGUGUUGUCCAUGUGGUCGGGUCUGUCUGUGUUGUCCAUGUGGUCGGGUCUGUCUGUGUUGUCCAUGUGGUCGGGUCUGUCUGUGUUGUCCAUGUGGUCGGGUCUGGUAGGGGACAGAGAGAAGAGAAGGUAAGGGACAGAGAGAAGAGAAGGUAGGGGACAGAGAGAAGAGAAGGUAGGGGACAGAGGGAAGAGAAGGUAAGGGGACAGAGAGAAGAGAAGGUAAGGGGACAGAGAGAAGAGAAGGUAGAAGACAGAGAGAAGAGAAGGUAGACACCUAGCGGUACCAGGAGCAGGACAGAUAUUGGAGUAUGAGUGUGACUGCAAUGGAGACGGUCUGCAUUGAGGACAGGGCUGGAGACAGUCUGCUCUGAGGACAGCUCUGAGGACAGGACUGGAGACCGUCUGCUCUGAGGACAGGACUGGAGACAGUCUGCUCUGAGGACAGGGCUGGAGACAGUCUGCUCUGAGGACAGGGCUGGAGACAGUCUGCUCUGAGGACAGGGCUGGAGACAGUCUGCUCUGAGGACAGGACUGGA